rnacentral:rRNA from 1 species
AUUGAACGCUGGCGGCAGGCCUAACACAUGCAUGUCGAGCGGAUCGGUGGCAGGGUGAGUAAUACCUAGGAAUCUGCCUGGUACUGGGGGAAAACGGUCGCAAAUGGGCGCUAAUACUGAAUACUAUCAUAUGCGCCUAGGUCGGAUUAGCAAGUACGUGGGGUAAAGGCCUCCCAAGGCGACGAUCCGUAACUGGUCUGAGAGGAUGAUCAGUCACACUGGAACUGAGACACGGUCCAGACUCCUACGGGAGGCAGCAGUGGGGAAUAUUGGACAAUGGGCGAAAGCCUGAUCCAGCCAUGCCGCGUGUGUGAAGAAGGUCUUCGGAUUGUAAAGCACUUUAAGUUGGGAGGCGUUACCAACAGAAUAAGCACCGGCUAACUUCGUGCCAGCAGCCGCGGUAAUAC